rnacentral:tRNA from 1 species
GCUCCUUUAGCUCAGUGGUAGAGCGGGCGAUUGCAGCUGCACACAGCAAGCAACUCAUCGCCAGGUCGAUUGUUCGAUCCAGUCAGGGAGCU